rnacentral:rRNA from 1 species
GACGAACGCUGGCGGCGUGCUUAACACAUGCAAGUCGAACGGAAAGGCCCUGCUUUUGUGGGGAGCUCGAGUGGCGAACGGGUGAGUAACACGUGAGUAACCUGCCCUUGACUUUGGGAUAACUUCAGGAAACUGGGGCUAAUACCGGAUAGGAGCUCCUGCUGCAUGGUGGGGGUUGGAAAGUUUCGGCGGUUGGGGAUGGACUCGCGGCUUAUCAGCUUGUUGGUGGGGUAGUGGCUUACCAAGGCUUUGACGGGUAGCCGGCCUGAGAGGGUGACCGGCCACAUUGGGACUGCGAUACGGCCCAGACUCCUACGGGAGGCAGCAGUGGGGAAUAUUGCACAAUGGGCGGAAGCCUGAUGCAGCAACGCCGCGUGCGGGAUGACGGCCUUCGGGUUGUAAACCGCUUUCGCCUGUGACGAAGCGUGAGUGACGGUAAUGGGUAAAGAAGCACCGGCUAACUACGUG